rnacentral:lncRNA from 1 species
UUUAAAGUCCAGCCACCGUUUUGUAAAAUUUGCCAAAACUCAGCAACCACUAUGUCAUUUACUCUUCAAAUCAUUAUCUAAUCCUGCAACCAGUAGUCCCAAUGAUUCGUAAAACAAAGCAGACAUUCAAAGGAGCUUUAAGAAUGAUAGUGGUCAUCUAAAAGUUUCAUCAUCAAUGUGACUGCAGGGAUGGGGCAAGACAAUUGUAGUGGGAGUGGACAAGCCAGGGGCAAUGUUGAGCUUCACAUCUUUUGAAGUUCUUCAUCAUGGAAAAACCCUCAUGGGUUCGCUAUUUGGAAAUCUGAAGCCUAAAUCCGACAUUCAAAUGCUGCUAAAACGCUACAUGGACAAGGUAAUCUAGUAAAGGAAAGAGCUCUGUCUCAGAUAUUUUUUGUUUCCUCGAGAAUCUGCUUNUGGACAAAUAAUCAAUUUACCGGCGGACAAUAUCCCGUACUUAGAUCGGUUUAUAUGCGACCUUCUCAAUUUAGGGGUCUAUUCAACUAAGAUUUUAAUAAAUUUUAUAUAGUUUAUGAAUUUUAAUAAAUUGUAUCUUAUUUUGAUUGUAUGCGAAUUCUCGAUAAAAUGUCCCAGAGGGGGAGUCUUUAAAAUUUAACCAAAAGGAAAAUGCUUGGAAAUCUUAUUGAUUUGAUUUUAAUGAGUUUUUUUUAUGUCAUGAGAUGAUUUUGGUGAGAUUUCAUAUAUACUAUAGUAUCUUUUGCCCUUAUUAAUUUGUUUUGUUAUUAUUUGACAAAUAAAUUUAAUAAGUAAUAAUAUAUUAAUUUUCAAAUACGUCAAAGUUUAAUAUUUCAAAUGGGAUAAAAAACUUAUGUUAGACACAAUUUUGUAAUACUUAAAUUUAUUAUAUGUCAAUAACAUUAACAUGAAAUUAUACGUCAAACUAAAUAUUAUAAGUCAAACUUGAUAUCAUAUUACACCCUCAUGUCUCCUUGAAGUAAAUUGACUGGAGUUUGAUCUUAAUAAAUUCUAUAUAAUUUAUGAAUUUUAAUUAAUUGUAUCUUAUUUUGAUUGUAUGCGAAUUCUCGAUAAAAUAUCCCAGAGGGGGAGUCUUUAAAAUUUAACCACAAGGAAAAUGCUUGGAAAUCUUAUUGAUUUGAUUUUAAUGAGGUUUUUUUUUUUAUAUCAUGAGAUGAUUUUGGUGAGAUUUCAUAUAUACUAUAGUAUCUUUUGCCCUUAUUAAUUUGUUUUGUUAUUAUUUGACAAAUAAAUUUAAUAAGUAAUAAUAUUUUAAUUUUCAAAUACGUCAAAGUUUAAUAUUUCAAAUGGGAUAAAAAACUUAUGUUAGACAUAAUUUUGUAAUAUUUAAAUUUAUUAUAUGUCAAUAACAUUAACAUUAAAUUAUACGUCAAACUAAAUAUUAUAAGUCACACUUGAUAUCAUAUUACACCCUCAUGUCUCCUUUAAGUUGUCCACUUUGACAUUGAACAGACAAAUUGAUCGGAGUUUGAUUGAAUGUUUUAUCUAUUGUAUAGUUGAAUAUUAAAAAAUUAUAUCAUUGUAAAGUAAAAAUAAUAUAUUUUAGAAUGCAAUUUUCAGUUUCUUAAAAUAAUUAAAGAAUCUUCCAUUAUAUUUUGUCAAUUUGACAAUUGAAUGUUAAAAGUGGACAACUAAAAAAUGGACGGCGAAAGUAAUAAAAUUUUGAAACUAUAGUUAAACUGAACAAAUAAAUAUGGAUGACUAUAUCUAUGUAUGAUGAUAGCAUGAUGAUAGGUAUAUAGACUAAUACAUUUUAUUUUAUUUUUAUUGUUUUAUUUUUUAUUUUUGAAAUUUUAUUUUAUAAAUAUAUAAAGAACCACUUUAAAAGAUAAUUUAUGAUUAUAUUAUUCAUUAUUACUAGGGAUUAAGCAAGCGCUACGUCCUAAAGACCCUGUAUAUUAUUGAUAAAUAAUAUUAUUUUUUUAGAAUUCUGAAUAUUAAAGAUUUAAAAAUGAAAAAGAAGAAGAAGUGAAGUUUUUAAUACAAUAUAGCGAGACAAUUAUAUUGUUAUUAUGAUUUUAUACGAGAGUAUAAUUUAUAAAAGGAUUUGUUGUAUAACGAAGAUAAUACGUUGAAAAAUUUAUUGAGUUGGGACUGCAGUAAAUGUCAUAUCAAGGUACAAGAAGCGUGGACACCGGGCACGAAGUCGUAAUUUUUGCAAUUAAUCAAAAGAUACCUAAAUAUUUUUUUCAAAAAAAAAAAGAAAUACCUAAAUACUUCUUAUCAUUAUUCAUCAAAAGAUUCCCAAAUCGUAGAAGACAAGCUGGGUAUCCAAACUUUCUUAAUGUGAUGCAGAAAACAAACUGACAUUGAUUUUUUUUGAUUUGACAAAAUUGAAACGGUUGAAUAAAAAAUGGAAAUGUUAAGACAAGACGACGAGGGAUUUGAAUUGAUUGAUGUAAAUCGAUAUUCUCGCGAUUUUACAACUAAUUGAUAUGUUGAAAAGAUAUCUGAUUUGUAUUUUUAAGCACUCGUGAUUAGCGAAGAUAAGUCAAUUAUCAUAAAUAAAAGAUACUCAAGAUGUCGCUGCCAUUGAUGCAUGAUACGUGACUUGUAUUUGUCUAUACUAUAUAUAGAGACUCUAGUGUAUCACUAAUAUUGUUCAUUGUAAUAUUUGAGUUUUCUGAUUUCUCCACAUGGAAGAGAGCAAAACAGCUGGUAAACCCAUUCGAUGCAGAGGUAAGCUCUUCAAACUCGCAGUUGAAUGUCACGUAAUAAUUUACGAAACAAGAAUUGUGUUGUUUUUUUUUUUGCCAAUUGAUUCUGACCUCCCGCAAGAGGAUACAAGAAUUGUGUUAUGUAGUUCUCCGUAGAAGUUAACUUAAAUGUUUAUGUAUAUAUGUCGAUUGUAUUGCAGCGGCGGUUGCUCGGAAAGCAGGGGAGCCACUGAGCAUGGAAGAAGUGAUCGUUGCUCCACCGGAAUCCGGUGAAGUCCGCCUUCGAAUUAUUUGCACCUCCUUGUGCUACAGUGACGUCACCUUCUGGAAAAUGAAAGUAAUCUUUGAUUAUUGUAAUUAUUUUUUUUAACUUGCUGUGAAUUUUUAACUCGGCACUAUCUCCUUGCAACUCUCUUUCUCUUAUUUUUUCCCCUGUGUUUAUGGUCAGGAUCCUCCUGCAUAUUUUCCCAGAAUACUUGGUCACGAAUGUUUCGGGUGCGUUUCUUUCGUUCUUUUUACUGUUUUUUACAAGUCAAUUACGCACUUAUAUAUUUUGUCUUUGACGAGUUUUGAAUUUCGCAAAGAGAACCAAAUAGAAAUCCAGGAUAUAUCAUAUCCCUUUGAUGUUUGUUUCUUUAAUUGAUAGUAAAGAAAGCAAGAUAACUCUUCUAUUUUGCUACAUUCUAUUUUGAAGGUUUCACUGACUUGCGCAUGUUAAGUUUAAUGUCUCACAAAAAUAAAAUAGCAUGGCUGAGCUAGUGAGCUUCAAUGUUACAUACAAAAAUGUUAUGACUAUCUAGAUUUCAUAUUUUUGACUAACUUCAGGGUUGUCGAGAGUGUUGGGGAGAAUGUCAGUGAGGUAACUGUAGGGGACACUGUCAUCCCAGUUUUUAUGCCAGAUUGCGGAGAAUGUGGAGAUUGCAUAUCUAGCAAGAGCAACCUUUGCAGCAAAUUCCCUUUUGAAUUUGUUCCAUGGUUGCAUAGAGACCAGAAAAGCAGAUUCACUGACCUUAAUGGAGAAACUUUGCAUCAUUUCUUAUAUAUUUCAAGUUUCAGCGAGUAUACGGUGGUGGAUACUGUUCACAUUGUUAAAGUUGAUACUAGGAUCCCACCAAAUAGAGGAUGCCUCCUCAGCUGCGGAGUAUCCACUGGUAUUCUAUUGUUUUAUUAGUCAGUAGUCACAUGCAUGAGAUAUUCAGUUCCUUCAUAUUUCAAGCAUUCUUAAUUAUUCAUAUUACUGAGUGUGAACCUUGCUAUUACUAAAUCAAAGUUAUCCUUGUAGGGGUAGGUGCUGCCUUGAAAACUGCAAAUGUGGAAGCUGGAUCGACUGUGGCCAUCUUUGGACUCGGUGCUAUAGGAUUGGCUGUAUGAUUCUGCAGUCUGUUCUGAAUUUGUUUAAUUUAAUAAAUGUGAUAUAACAUGGCUCUGGUGUGGAUAAUCAGUUUGGGAUAUGAUGUAUGUCAUAGGUCUCAGAAGGAUCAAGACUUUGUGGAGCUAAACGAAUAAUUGGUGUCGAUGUGAAUGAAGACAAGUAUGAGAUAGGUAAUAAAUUAAUGUGGAACUUUCUUUCCAGUCGAUGUUAAGUGAAAUACAGUGAUCUCUUGGCUGUUAUACUAGAUCAAAGUAAUAGAUUGACCAAUUGUCUAUACAAGCUAUAACUAAUUCAGUCUGGUUGAUAAAUGGAUUCUCAAUAGCUUGUAAAUUGAGUCCCAUUGUUCUCAUGCAGCAAAAAGAUUUGGAGUGACGGAUUUUGUGAACUCUCUCACAUGUGGUGAAAAAUCUGUGAGCCAGGUACACUAAGCCUGUCAACUUGUACAGAGUUUUGUAUAUUCAUUUGACUCUGUUUUAUUACUUUUAAUAUUUGUAUAUUAGCUAUCUUCCAAUACAUACAUCAGACUGCUAACACGGAGAGGGGAAAUGAGAAUUCAUACCUACUUUGGCCAUUAUUCACUUUAAAAUAUUCAUGAACUAUGGUUAUGUUUCUGAGAAUGAUUAUAUACAUAUAUUGUUAGUAAUAAUAAUUCGUCUCUCAUAUCACAUCGGCAGGUGAUUUUAGAGAUGACUGAUGGUGGCGCAGACUAUUGCUUUGAAUGUGUUGGUAUCGCAUCCUUAGUGCAUGAGGCUUUCGCUUGCUGCCGAAAGGUGUCACAAUUUCCUUUGCACUGCUGUAAUUAAUAAUCCGCGUUUAAUAUUGCUCUAAAAACCCUGUGCCUGAUUUUUUUGUCCCAUCCAUCAUCUAUGGUCUUUCUUGAGAUGCAUUAAACUAUUGAGUAGAUCAUGAACUCUAUAUGAAUUAACAUUAAGUAGACGCAAUAAUUAAUAAGGAUAAUUAUAACUUUUAUACGAUGAAAUAUUGUGCUUCCCUAACACAAACAUAUAUUGAUGAGUUUCUUAUUAUACAUUCGCAGGGAUGGGGAAAGACGGUUGUUUUGGGAGUGGAUAAGCCAGGUUCAAACUUGACCUUGUCUUCUGUUGAGGUUGUUCGGUCAGGAAAGACUCUCACAGGAUGCCUGUUUGGAAGCAUUAAACGAAAAUCUGAUGUUCCUAUGCUUGUAAAACGAUAUUUGGACAAGGCAUUUCGAUAUCUAUUAGAUUUAACUAUUCAAGGUUGCUUAUGUUUAUUGAUCAGAACAGAUCAUUUUUAAAAAGCAGUAAAGAAACUAUUUUGUUCUCCUUGGAAUAAGCCCUAUGGUUGAUCUGAAAUUUCAGGAGCUGGAACUGGAUAAGUUUGCGACUCAUGAAGUCAAGUUUGAAGACAUCAACAAGGCNGAGUUACUUGUAGAUGGAAAGAGCGUGCGAUGUAUAAUAUGGAUGGACCAAAACAAAUAGGAGAGUUCCUGCAGCCUUCUGCACUCAGCUGCCAGCUGCAAUAAGUGAAGAAAUUCAAGUGGAGUUACAUUUAUAUGCAAUAUUUCCUCUUUGAGAUCAAUAAAUAUAUCUGGAUUCUGAACAAUUUUAUGAAAUUAUUCGAUUAGAAACCUCCUUGGUCAGUGAUAUUAGUUCAGUUUUAUUUAAUAUUAUUAAUUAUUAAUAAAUUUCUUUGGUUCAUAAAUAUGCGCUUUUAAGUCCUUGAACGAGCUCUGGUUUCUUUUUCCGAUGAUGAUAAUAGCUUUGGUUUUACCUCAUUUUGCUUAGGCAGUCAUACGUAAUAUUCAGCAGACAACUUUGAGAUUUUGCGUCUCUUUGAGCUUUUGCGUUUAAGAUUAUUGACAUGCAAUCUCUGUCAGGUACUGUCAAUAUAGAGGAAAUGGUUUAAAAGUUAAUACUAUGUUAAGAUGAUUAUUUAAAAUUUAGUAAAGAAGUCAAAGUGCACGAUGUGAUUAGCAACUUGUAGCAUGAAGAUCAAUAUAAAUAGAUAGAUGUUUUAUCAUACAGUUGAUUAUGGAGAUGAUUGAGGGUGUUGCCGAUUAUUGCUUCGAAUGUGUUGGUACGGCAUCCUUGUUGCAUGAAGCAUUUGCUUGGUGCAGAAUGGUAUCCUUAAUUCUCCACUUCCUCUCUCAUUUACAAACAGAAAAGCAGUCUAACAUUUUGCAGAUGAAAAACUGGCUCAGUUUCACAGGAAUUAACAUGUUCUAUCUCAAUCUGUCACUUAACUUACAGGGAAAAUUCAUUGUACCUAAAUUCACAUUUGUAGCCUAAUUUUCUUCUGACAUGUGCUUUACUUGAAGUUAUUCGGCCUUGUUUCCAAGUUAAAACUGAUGAUAAAGUACUUAACUCGUGACAAUUUUUUACUAGGGGUGAGCAUUCGGUUCGUUAACCGAAAACCGAACCGAUUAGCCGAAAAAAAUUCUGUUCGGUUAACCAAUAUAAUUAUUUCGGUUCGGUUUUCGGUAGGAAAAUAUCUAAAUUUCGGUUUUUCGGUUUUUUAACCGCGGUUAACCGAUAACCUAAAUUCGGUUCGGUUUUUACAGAGGGUCUUCUGCGAUUGCUUAACUAUAUCUUUCAAAUUAUUAUCUAAUCCUGCAACCAGUUGUCCCGAUGAUCCGUAAAACAAAGCAGACAUUCAAAGUAGCUCUAAAAAAUGAUAGUGGUCAUCUAAAAGUUUCAUCAUCAAUGUGACUGCAGGGAUGGGGAAAGACAAUUGUAGUGGGAGUGGACAAGCCAG